rnacentral:rRNA from 1 species
AAUAGAUACCCGGGUAGUCCACCCCGUAAACGUUGGGAACUAGUUGUGGGGUCCUUUCCACGGAUUCCGUGACGCAGCUAACGCAUUAAGUUCCCCGCCUGGGGAGUACGGCCGCAAGGCUAAAACUCAAAGGAAUUGACGGGGACCCGCACAAGCGGCGGAGCAUGCGGAUUAAUUCGAUGCAACGCGAAGAACCUUACCAAGGCUUGACAUACACCAGAACACCCUAGAAAUAGGGGACUCUUUGGACACUGGUGAACAGGUGGUGCAUGGUUGUCGUCAGCUCGUGUCGUGAGAUGUUGGGUUAAGUCCCGCAACGAGCGCAACCCUCGUUCUAUGUUGCCAGCACGUAAUGGUGGGAACUCAUGGGAUACUGCCGGGGUCAACUCGGAGGAAGGUGGGGAUGACGUCAAAUCAUCAUGCCCCUUAUGUCUUGGGCUUCACGCAUGCUACAAUGGCCGGUACAAAGGGCUGCAAUACCGUGAGGUGGAGCGAAUCCCAAAAACGCCGGUCCCAGUUCGGAUUGGGGUCUGCAACUCGACCUCAUG